UUUCCGUAGGUGAACCUGCGGAAGGAUCAUUGAAUCUUUUCGAUACCGCUCACACCCCUCGUGAAUCAUGACCGAGUGCCGGUUUGUUUGUUUGUUUGUUGUUCGUCCUGGUGGUUUUCGGUGGUCGUGUUGUUGCUCGGUUGGCUGGUUACUACUACGUAGUGACCGACAACCGGCAGCAAUCCCCCACUGCGACUGCCACGAUCGACAACCGACCGACCGACCGACCAACCAACCAACCAACAACUCCCAAUCGUAAACACGACACUGAAGCUAGGUACUCGUUCGUUCGUUCGUUUGACGUGGUGGGGAAGCAACCAACCCCCGUCACUCACUCGGACGAACAAACAACGAGCGACCAAAAAUAGUAACCAGAGACAACUCUCAACAACGGAUAUCUUGGCUCCCGUAUCGAUGAAGAACGCAGCGAAAUGCGAUACGUAGUGUGAAUUGCAGAAAUUCGUGAACCAUCGAAUCUUUGAACGCAACUUGCGCCCACGUCCCUCGGGACAAGGGCAUGUCUGCCUCAGCGUCGGCUUCAACCCUCGCGGCUCGUUCCUUUUCCAUCGAGCGAACGAGCCCGCGGAUCUGGCCCUCUCACCCGUGUCUCGUCCACUACUGGACGACCGACGAUUGCGGUGGGUGGGCUGAAGCGCAGAGGCUCGAGCAUGGACCCCGUUCGCAGGGCGUCGACUUGGCAGGUAGGAUGUCCUACACCCACUGUCGACGGCCGAGGGGCUCGUGCUGGAGGCCCAGCAGGAACCGGGGAAGGGAGGCGUCGUUGGUUGGCUGGCUGUCGGCUGGUCGAGAGUGGCGUCGGUCACUCGGAACCACCCCCGACAACAACAACCCAAACCACAACCCCCCCCGGCAAACCAUCGAGUUUACGACCUGAGCUCAGGCAAGGCUACCCGCUGAACUUAA
rnacentral:rRNA from 1 species